GCGCCCUUAGCUCAGGUGGAUAGAGCGUCGGACUACGAAUCCGAAGGUCAGAGGUUCGAAUCCUCUAGGGCGCACCA
rnacentral:tRNA from 1 species